GGUUGCGUAGUAUAGUGGUUAUUACGGGAGAUUUUGAAGCAUUCAAAACUUCUCUUAACCCCGGUUCGAACCCGGGCGCGACCU